CAAUUACUUGCCCUUUUUUAUCUUUCUCUCCAUAAAAUAAAACCCUAGCCAGCUCAUUUAGCAGCAGGAGGAGGAGUGCAGUGGAUCCUGGAACUGCUAAAUUUAAAUGAUUUCCAUGGAUCAAGCUACUCGUUCUAAAUCAUUACUGUUACUUUUCUUUCACUUACCAUUUUCCCUAUCACACAACUAAUUCUGAGAGGGAGAAGAAAAAGAAACAUUAGAUGCCGAUGGCAUAAACUUUCUGCAUUUGGAGAGACCUUCCUUUGAAGCAAAUGUGCAGAGAAAGAAAGGUGCCUGUGUUGAAAAGUGCAGAGAAAAAGUUGCUGAAUUCUAAGAUUAUUUUUAAGCACAGACUGCAAUGGCUGGACAAGAAGAACAUGAUCUUCUAAGCAAAACGAAGCCAAAAUUUGAUUAUAUCCCAGCAUGUCAUUCUAGCAAAGGUCCUUUGAUCGUCAAUAUGCAUAUAGAUGAGCCACUUCAUUGGCUGAUAUGGUUUCUUGGUCGCCCGAAGUAAAUUGAGUUGGACGAUCGAUGUAUAUGCAUGCAUGAAUUUGUAGCCAAUGCAUGCAUGAAGAUAUUCUGCGUGAUCAAGCUCCAGAGGCAUCACAAACACCAACUCUUUGUGUCCCAACAAAUACAGCUACUCAAGAUGAGAUUGCCUCCAUUCUUGAACACCAAUUUGUUACAACUCGUCAAUGAGGGUAUUACAAGUUUUUAGUUCAAUGGAAAAAUCGUCCAAAUUCAAAAUCAAUUUGGUUGCAAGCAUCGAAAGUCCAGCAUUUACAUCCACAUCUAUGUGCUGCUUACACUCGUUAAAACUUGUCAGAGUCAAAUUCUUCAAGGGAGCUGGCAAUUGAUGCAGAUUAGGAGGAUGCUCCAUAGUCAGUGGAGAUGUUUUAAUUCAUUUUAAUUAUUUUUUUCUAAAUUAUUGAUUUCCUAGUUAGAUUAGUAUUUUCUAGUUUUAUUCUAUCUGCAAUUGUUAUUUCCUAAAUAGAUUAGUAUUCUAUUUUGUUUGUUAUUUAAGAAUAAAGGAUGUACAAUUAAAAAUAAUUUUUUGAAAUGAUUAAUGAAAUUACAUGUUUGAUCCUGAGAUGAAACUAGUCUAGUGAGACACCAGAAACCUAUUAAUUUAUUUUAUUGGAAAGAUUCCAACUUUAUAUAGAGAGAUUUUGUACUUUUCUCUUAUUGGCAUCGACGUGAGGUUGAACCAAUAAGUUGCACCAAAGCCCAGGCGUCAAAAUAGUAAAACCUUAAAACCUCAAUAUAAAUUAGUUUAGAAUAACCAAAAGAAAAAAACUGCAACCAAUGCAUAAGAAACACGGAACUUGCAAAACAAAGUUAGCUCACGCAAGAAAUAAAGCAAUACAAAACCAAACCACAAAAACCAAAAGCAAUAAAAACAUCAAAUAAAAAACCGGUCAUAUUAGUAGAAGCGUAAAGAAGGAAAACCUAGCUUAUCCAAGCGGAUUAGACAUCUAAGCAGCCUCAGCACUUCCCCAAUCACUAGCCACUCUAUACGAUGACCCAUCGCACCAUACUUUGCUAGCUAGUCUAAAUUUUUAUUCCCCUCUUUGAAGACAUGACUCACAAAAAUAAACCAUUGAAUCUAUGAGACCAACAAUCUCCCCUCAAAAAUCUUCCAGAUACCAAACCCCACAUCUCCGUUGCUUCCACCAUGACACCACCACCUGAGAGUCAAGUUCAAUUUCUACAAAACCAAUCAUCAAAGUUUUACAAGCUUUAAGACCAUACAAAAGAGCUAAUAACUCCACAUGAUUAUUCAAACCAACUCCUAGAGGAGAAGCAAAAGCAUGAACUAAAUUACCUUAAGUAUCUCUAAUAAUACCACCCACCCUAGAAGCAAGAUUCCCAAAACUGCCACCAAUUUAGGACAGCACCUUGAUGAAACGAAAGACGGAAUAAGCAAACAGUGUAAAAUCUAAGUAUCAUUCCUUGAACAUUUAGUAAUCUUGUGGAUGUAAUGGCAGGCUAAAUGAAUCCAAUGAUGAACGGAUUGCCAAACUACACUGAAGGACUUUAGACGACGACCUUCCAUGCAAGCUACACAUUUGCGAUGUCAAAGACUCGAAGAAAGAAAAGAAUGAAGAAGUCCCACUAUUAUCCCAACCUGAGAAGAAGAAGACACACAGCGAAACCAGGCAGUUACCGUCUCUUUCCAAAUACCCCUAAGCGGUAGACCAAAAAUAGCACCAGACCCGAGCAGCAAAUUCCCCUUUAAACAAAACAUGAUUUUGAUCUUCAUAAUUACCCUCAACACAGUAGUCACACCUAGAAACAAUUGGCACACCCACUCAACGAAAGUGAUCAUCAACACUGAAAGCAUUGUUCCAAGCCUUUCGCAUAGAAACUGAAACCUUCAAAGGAAGCAGAUUAUGCCACAUCCAAGAAUGCCAAUCCAUAGUGGAACCCCUUAUUCGAAUGCAAUCCCAAGCUGAUUUAGUAGAAAAAUAACCAUUAUCAUGCCCCGUCCAUGUCAACACAUCCGAACCUCCCUUGCAAACUGCUAAUGAUUCAAGAAUAUCAUCAACAUUUUCAUGCCCCAUCAAACUAACCAACAAGUUGACAUCUCAUGAAUUAGACAGUUUACAAUACAUAACUUUAAGCCGAGGGCUACCCACAAUCAAAAGAUCAGUAAAUAAAGGACCCUGAUCGCUCCAUUUGUCAUACUAAAAGAAAAGAUUGCCUUCCUUGAUACGUCACUUAGAAUCCUCAAGAACCAAUGGAAUACAUUUAACAAUCAUCUUUCAAAAUCUCAUACCUUUAUUCAAAUCAAUAAGAAACCAUGGUUUAGAACUCAUAUAUUUAUCUUUGAAAAAACGAGCCCAUAAAAAUUACUUUGGAUUAAAUUUCAAACGAACCUCAAGUGGAGGGCUUUCUACAUAUCAUCCAGGUUUCGCAAACCCAAAUCACUGUCUUCCAUAGGGUUACACAUGCGACCAAGCCACCCAUUUUUUCUUACCUCUCCCACUAGUCUCGCCCCAAAAGAAAGUACUCAUCAAGCAAUAUAACUCUUUGAUGAUAGAUUGAGAGACCAGUAAAACAACAAACAAAUGUAAAGUCGUGCUUGUUAUGAAAAACGAUGACAAUAAAUUGAAAAGAAAUAUGGAACGAGAAAAGCAAUCACACACGACACAAGAUUUACGUGGUUCGGCAAAUUGCUUACGUCCACGGGAGCUGCAGAAGAUUUUAUUAUUAAGGAAUAUCACACUAUAAUGAUGGAUCAAUCACUAUACGUCCACAAUAUUUCUACAAUAUGGCCAUAUGACAUAAUAAUCAUAUAUAUAGUCAAAUGGUGGAAAAAACCCUAGAGCUGUGUAAAAUGCAUGUUCGCUCGAGCGGCAUGUCGAGCGCACGUCGAGCGAACUUCCUUCCCGCAUCUGCUCGAGCUCACUGUCGAGCUAACAUCGAGCGUUCAACUCUGCCUGAUUUCGCUCGAGCGGCCAAUGCCUCCACUUGAGCGGUGUGGACCAGACUUCACAGUACUCAACAGUGCUAGAAAGCACAUGCCUAAGGAGAAUUAGACAACCUCUCAAAGAGAGAAGCUUCAUAUUCCAACCAUUGAUUUUAUAAAGGACUUUGUUAAUCAUCUCCUCCAUAUGAACUUGCUUAAAUCUUCCCAAAAUAAUAGGCACUCCUAAGUAUUUGAAAGGAAAAAAACCCUCCGAGUGCCCGGUCAAACACUUAAGAGCUCUCUUGCGACCCAAAGGAUUUUUUUUAGAAAAGAACAUGGCCAUCUUUUCUUUAUUGAUCCUAUGUCCUGACCAAGUCUCAUGUUUAUCAAAGACAAAUAAAAGCUCCUGAAUUGAUCCCGUGCUACCAUUUGUAAAAAUCACCAUAUCAUCAACAUACAUAAGAUGAGAGAUUUGAAUCAUACAUGUGGCUUGAGAAAAUUGACCAAACUUUUUCUCCAUGACUGUAUUCUUAAAAAGUCUAGAAAGAACCUCUUGAAGAAUAAUAAAUAGGUAGAGAGAAAGAGGAUCCGACUGACGCAAACCAUGACCUCCUCAAAAAAAAACCUUUAGAGGUUCCAUUAUAACAAAGUACCAAAGAGACGAAAUACAAAUCUGAAUUAAAUCACAAACCUGAGGAGAAAAUCCAAAACUAUGAAGGAUAGCCACCAAGAAACACCAAUCAACCUAGGGGUGU